rnacentral:misc_RNA from 1 species
AAAAAACCAUCACGACCUUGUUCUUGGGAGUUCGCUCCUCAGGACAUGAUAACGUGGAGUUGGGCUGUAUCUGCUUUCGCGAGCAGGUGGCCUCAAAGGAGAGCGUUGGAAGCUGGAUCUCCUCUACUGGGAUCGCUGCCCGAAAUGUACUGAAUUGGAGUAACCUUCAUUUUUCUUUCUUGCAGUUGAGCCUAGUGGAGAACCGGUCGACCGAUCAACCCACUACCACACGAGGGGUCGAGAGCGGACCGCUCACGAUUCCUCGAAU